GACGGAGGAUGCAAGUGUUAUCCGGAAUCACUGGGCGUAAAGCGUCUGUAGGUAGUUCGAAAAGUCCACUGUUAAAAAUUGAGGCUUAACUUCAAAGAUGCCGUGGAAACUUUCAAACUAGAGUAUGGUAGGGGUAGAGGGAAUUUCCAGUGGAGCGGUGAAAUGCGUAGAUAUUGGAAAGACCACCGAUGGCGAAGGCACUCUACUGGGCCAUUACUGACACUGAGAGACGAAAGCUAGGGGAGCAAAUGGG
rnacentral:rRNA from 1 species